rnacentral:rRNA from 1 species
GUUAUAGGGACAAGUGAAUAAGUGCACAUGGCGGAUGCCUUGGCGAUUACAGGCGAUGAAGGACGUAGAAGUCUGCGAUAAGCUUCGGGGAGCUGACAAACAAGCUUUGAUCCGAAGAUUUCCGAAUGGGGAAACCCGGCCUUUUAGGUCAUCGUACACUGAAUACAUAGGUGUACGAAGCGAACGCGGCGAACUGAAACAUCUAAGUAGCUGCAGGAAAAGAAAUCAACCGAGAUUCCCAAAGUAGUGGCGAGCGAAAUGGGAAGAGCCUGCACGUGAUAGUCGGACUGAUAGUGGAAUGCUCUGGAAAUGGCAGCCAUAGCGGGUGAUAGCCCCGUACACGAAAUCAGACCGGUGGUACUAAGCGUGCGACAAGUAGGGCGGGACACGAGAAAUCCUGUCUGAAGAUGGGGGGACCAUCCUCCAAGGCUAAAUACUCGUAAUCGACCGAUAGUGAACCAGUACCGUGAGGGAAAGGCGAAAAGAACCCCGGGAGGGGAGUGAAAUAGAUCCUGAAACCGUGUGCAUACAAACAGUAGGAGCCUCCUUGUGGGGUGACUGCGUACCUUUUGUAUAAUGGGUCAGCGACUUACAUUCAGUGGCGAGGUUAACCAAAUAGGGGAGCCGUAGAGAAAUCGAGUCCGAA